GAAGAUACAUCCACUCCAGUGCAUUUGUUGGUAAGUAUCAGUGUUUUAACCAAGACUAACAACAGUCAAAAUAAAAAUAACUGCAUUAAUGUUAAGUUUAAUCCUGUUGAACAACUUGAUAUUCAAGAUAAUGUAAAAUAUAUGAUGCAUUUCUCAAAUACUGAGUUCAAAGUGAUAUGAAAUGUUGAUCUAUGUGUAACACAUAUACCAUAUGAGAAAUAGAGAUGGGAUACAGUUUUUUCCUUGUAGACAACCUUGUGCUAACAAUAUUACUACACUACUUAAUUAAUGUUUUGGAUCAUUUUAACUUGCAGGGAAAGUCUGAAUCUUAAUUUUGACAAUUAAGUGGGAAAAUCAUUCAGGAAAAGUACUUUAAAUGAAGUGAGCUGUGAGAGAGGCUCUUUUGACUGUAUUAAAAAUCUCCUCCUCUCUCUCCCCCUCCUCCUGCCUCAUCUUGUCCUCUGACCUGAGCGAAAAUCCCUACCAACUCUGAAGUGUAAGUUCACACUUGCGUAUACUUAUUUAGCAAUCACUCAAAUGUUACAUUUUUGCUCCGUAGUUUAUAAUGACAUAUCACGGUUUUCUAUUUCACCUCAUCAACAUACAGAAGAAAGUAAAGAGGUCUUUCAUCGUGUUUGUGCAUUGUCUCUCCAUUUUAACAAACAUUUUUUACAGGCCAAGGGAGCUGCAGUAACAUCCUUUUAUUAAUCAAGUGCGACAAAUUUUAGAGUUUGAUAAGAAAUGAGAAAACUAAUGAUCCACACUGAAAAACGGUCGUGAUUACAAUAAACUUUGAGAUGCUGAUUUUUUUAUUUUAUUUUUUUGCAACUAAAUUACAUUUUUUUUGUCCUUCUGUCUUCUCCCUCUUACUGAACUCCUCAACGCUAUUUCUACUGCGGGCCCUGUUCACUGUUGGCAACUCAGCUGUAAGUUCACAAAUAAAGUAACUUUAAAAUAUAUUUUCACUGUUACUUUUUGCAACACAUUAUCUAAAAACCUGACCUAAAUAACACUUUAUUUUAACUAAUGCAGAACUAAAUGUAAAUAAUUUUGCUGGCUGAUCACAGUUGGAAUUACAAUGCAGUGAGAUGUGCUGGUUUUGUACAAUUAAACUAAAAAUCUCUUGUCUCUGUUUUUCCAUUUUCCUUCUUGCCAACUCGAUACUGUCUCCAAGUGCAGACCGCUUUGUGGCGACUUGACGUAAGUUCACACAGGAAUGACAUUUUCAUGAAUAUUUUUUAUAAUAUUAUAUAUAUAUAUAUAUAUAUAUAUGUUUAUCCUUCUAAGGUACCUUGCUUGCAUCUGUUGACAGCUCAUGGAGCUGCUUGGCCUCAUUAUAACUUAUUACUUAGUUGGAAAACUGAAAACACAGUAAAGGAAAUUACAUUUCCUAAAAUACAUUAUUAUCUUAUUAGCAAAGUAAUCCAUUGAUGUUAUUGCUUACCAGGACAUGGGUUUGAACAUUAUAAAGGGAACUUUAAAUGAUUUCUAAGAGUCUAAAAUACACAGGGAUAAUAGAACUUGUUGUAAAAUACUUUGAGGUCCUAAAUUUAAAAAGCUGGCUCUGUGGUUGGAUUCAAGUUGGACUCAGUGUAGGAUGUGGUGGAGAGAUGUACGCUGAGGAAGGUGGAGACUAUUUUAAAGAACAUGGAUUACCCACUUCAUAACACCUUGAUGGACCAAAGGGCCUAAGGUGGUGGACGGCUCCUCUCUCCUCGCUGCAGGACAAAAAGAUUCAGAAGAUCUUUUGUACCCACAGCCAUCAGACUUUACAAUUCUUAAUAGCAGAUGACUUUUUGAGAUAUGACAAAUUUCCCUUCAGGGAAAUAAUAAAGUUCUCCUUACCUUAAAUACAUUUUUAAUAAACUCGUAUGAGCACUUUGGAUUUUUAGUUCUUAUUAAUUUGAUUGAUGGGUUAUCAAACAGGGCAAUUGCCAAUUCCAGGAUUUGACUCAACUUGGCUUUUGAUAAAUGUAUAGUUAAGGAUAGCCAUAUGGUGGGUUAAGCAAAAGCACAUAAUAAUGACAUUAGCUUUGGGUGGAUGUUGGUUCAUUUUGUUUCUCUUAUAAAAAAUGAUUCAUGUUUGUUUUCAUUGUGUCUUACAGGUAUCGUGUCCAGUCUCCCCACUCUCCCCUAUCUUUU